UUGGAGGGCAAGUCUGGUGCCAGCAGCCGCGGUAAUUCCAGCUCCAAUAGCGUAUAUUAAAGUUGUUGCAGUUAAAAAGCUCGUAGUUGAAUUUCGGGAUUGACGUGAUGGUCAUGCCUUAAGGGGUAUGAACUGUCACAGUUGAUUUCUCACCUUCUGGAGAAACUUGAUGUCCUUUAUUGGGUGUCUUGCGGAUCCAGGACCUUUACCUUGAAAAAAUUAGAGUGUUUAAAGCAGGCAUUUUUGCUCGAAUACAUUAGCAUGGAAUAAUAGAAUAGGACGGCAUGGUUCUAUUUUGUUGGUUUCUAGGAUCACCGUAAUGAUUAAUAGGGAUAGUUGGGGGCAUUAGUAUUCAAUUGUCAGAGGUGAAAUUCUUGGAUUUAUUGAAGACUAACUACUGCGAAAGCAUUUGCCAAGGAUGUUUUCAUUAAUCAAGAACGAAAGUUAGGGGAUCGAAGACGAUCAGAUACCGUCGUAGUCUUAACCAUAAACUAUGCCGACUAGGAAUCAGACGAUGUUAAUUUUUUAAUGACUCGUUCGGCGCCUUACGGGAAAC
rnacentral:rRNA from 1 species